ACCCUAAUGUUCGUUAUCUGCCGCCAUCACACAAGUUCCCUUUUCGUUUCUCACAGGGCUCUUCGUGCAAGAUCCAAGAGCAAAUCUGUUUCCAGGGGCAGAUAAGGCAAAUAAGAAGUAAUGUUGGGAUCACUGGCACGCUGGGAACCCAGUGGCAGUAGAGGUUUGAAUGAGCGAGGCAUCUGGACAAGUCAAGUCAAGAAGUUUGCACCCUUGUGGAAUUGUUCCCAAAAUAACCUCGAAGAAAUAGUCUCCAUCGAGGCUGUUGUUGUUCCCACAAUCAAGAAAGUAGGAACUCAAGAUGCUUUCACUAGAAUUGUUCAUUUCAGGGAAUAAUUUAAGGAAGACGUCAGUGCCCACAUUGUCUUCCUUUGUAUAUCCUGUUGAUUCAGCACCACCUUUGGAAAAAUCUCUCUUUCCCUGAUUGAAUUGCAUUGUAUGUGGUUUUACAUAGGUAGAUCCAUUUUGUUUCAUUGGUCUCUAUCUUUAUGUCAGUAACACUCUUUCUUAAUCAGUGUAUCUUC
rnacentral:lncRNA from 1 species